AGUGCCUAAGGUAAACAGUGUCAACUCAAUGCACUCAAGAAAGCAAACACAAACAGACUUGGCAAGCCUCUAAUAUCAACACUCAAACACAUAUGCAUGUUCAAAUCAAAAGGUCUUUUAUGGAUGCAAUGGGGCCAAGGAAAAGAGGGGAUAUAAUAUGAUGAGAAGCUAUAAACCAAAGGAAAUAGAGGAGCAAUGGGGAACAAGUGUAAACACAUUCAAACACACCCAAACCUCUAAUUUCAUCCUCUUCCUGACUCCUUUAUUCACAACAAUUUUUUUUUUAAUUUUUCUCAUUUUUCUGUAUUUUUUUUUCUUCUUCUUCUUUUUUUUUCAUCUUGUCUCUUUUCUUUUCUCUCUUUUCCGAACACAACUCUAAGAGACAAGAUACACACAUAUUUACAAAACAAAAGCAAGAAGAGGAACCAACUAGCCAAUUCAUCUGAAUCUCCCAAGAGACCACACUUAUUCCCAAAACAAUUCCAAAGCUCUAAAAUUCCCUAAGGUUAAGGUAAACAUGGUUUUUCAGUUAGGGUUAGUGUAUGAGCUUCAAAACAAAGAAAUGGGGAAAGCAUAGACUCAAAAGGGGUUAUCAAUGGAUCACAACAGGGUAGGCUCAUCUGGCCAGAGAGGCUCAACAACAAAACUGCCUUUAUCAAUUCCAAACAUGCAUAUAAAUCAAGACACAUAAAAAAGAGUCAAGCCAAGGCAUAUGUGCAAGCAAUCAAGAGACAUAUCACACACAAGAAAGAAUAUCAAGUGGCUCAAUUCUCACUCAGGAUAUUUCUGUCACAAUCAAUCAACCUCUCAAACAUCAUAAUCAUCUUCCAAGCAGAGAAAAGCAAGGAUUUCAAGAAAAUCAGAGUAUCAAUGAAGUGAAAGACACAUCUACAACCUAAACAAAGUCCAGAAAUCAGAAGAAACAUGUAAAACUGUACACAAGACACAACAAAAACUACCUAGAAAAGAAAAAAUUUAACGCAAAAAACAUAAACUAAUCAAAGAAAAAUCAGAAUCUCCCCCAAUAGACCACACUUGAACUACACAGUGUCCUCAAUGUGUCACAAGCAUAAGAUCAGAAUUCAGAACAGAUCAAAGGACAUCAGGGAAGUAACACAGACUCAGCACACAGAAAACAACAAAGACUGACAAGGAAAGAAAUAGGAUUACACAGUCCUCAAGAAAUCUGGACAAAGAAAGUAAGUAGACAACAUCCCACAUAGAAUCAAGGAAAGCAGAUACUCAUGAAGUCAUCCAAGCAAUUCAAGACAUGGAAAAAUGAUCAAUCAGUUCAAGAGGUGAAACAAAAAUGACAGAACCUCACAGAUGCACACUAUCAGUGUUUCUCUCAAGUGUCUAGGAUAAACAAUGUCAACUCAAUGCACUCAAGAAAGCAAACACAAACAGUCUUGGCAAGCCUCUAAUAUCAACACUCAAACACAUAUGCAUGUUCAAAUCAAAAGGUCUUUUAGGGAUGUAAUGGGGCCAAGGACAAGGGAGGAUAAAUAUGGAUAAGAAGCUACAAACCAAAAAGAAUAGAGGAGCAAUGGGGAAUAAGUGAAAAUACAAUCAAAUCACACCCAAAACCUCUAAUUCAAUCCUCUUCUUGACUCCAUUAUUCACAAAACUUCUUUUUUUUU
rnacentral:lncRNA from 1 species